AGCUGGAGGAGUUAAGAUGGGCCACGAGUGAGAAAAGGCAUCAACCAAUCUCCUUAACAGUUCGCAAAGCAGCCUUCUCAGCCUGGAGUUUCCUCCAUCCAUGUGGCCUCUUCCUCUGAAACCUCUAUUUGAAGAAGUGCCAAGAUGAGCCAUCUUCAUUUCUCUUUUGGCUCCACUCUUAGCAUUGAACAACGGCAAACUCCCAGGUUUGGAUCUACGGGAGAGACCCCUCUCUGCUACAGUGGU